rnacentral:rRNA from 1 species
GACGAACGCUGGCGGCGUGCUUAACACAUGCAAGUCGAACGAAGAGCGAUGGAAGCUUGCUUCUAUCAAUCUUAGUGGCGAACGGGUGAGUAACGCGUAAUCAACCUGCCCUUCAGAGGGGGACAACAGUUGGAAACGACUGCUAAUACCGCAUACGAUCCAAUCUCGGCAUCGAGGAUGGAUGAAAGGUGGCCUCUAUUUAUAAGCUAUCACUGAAGGAGGGGAUUGCGUCUGAUUAGCUAGUUGGAGGGGUAACGGCCCACCAAGGCGAUGAUCAGUAGCCGGUCUGAGAGGAUGAACGGCCACAUUGGGACUGAGACACGGCCCAGACUCCUACGGGAGGCAGCAGUGGGGAAUCUUCCGCAAUGGACGAAAGUCUGACGGAGCAACGCCGCGUGAGUGAUGACGGCCUUCGGGUUGUAAAGCUCUGUUAAUCGGGACGAAAGGUCCUCUUGCGAAUAGUUAGAGGAAUUGACGGUACCGGAAUAGAAAGCCACGGCUAACUACGU